GCCUUUGUGGUGUGUUGGUUUGAUUGUUGGACUAUGACUCUGGAGACCAGGGUUCGAUUCUCUGCUUGGCCA